rnacentral:ncRNA from 2 species
CGCCAUCCGUUGGGGUGCUUGAUGACAAGCUGAGAGGCGAAUGCCAACCCAUCGAACCUGAUCCGGUCAGUACCGGCGGAGGGAACGGACCCAAAGACCGG